AGCGGGAACAUUGGUCUUUGCGAUGAGUACGAUACGGCUCUCAUCAUCACCGACGCUCAUAAUUCUUGCAUAGCAAUUCGGCAUGCACUACAAGAAUCAAGCAGAGCAGUUCAUUUCUGAUGGGCUUUCAAAUGCGCCAGCAGAGUAAUACCCAGAGCCUCCCCAGUAUCAGUUUAGAGAAUUCAUCAGCGACAAGUGAUCAAAAGACACAGAAAGGAAGUUGACGGGCCCAACACAAAAUGGGAACUAUAUGUGAGAAAGGGGACGGAUAGAGCCAAUAGCCAAGGGACUUAGUGCAGGAUAGCGUGAAGGGCAGAAUAGCAAUAAGCAGCACCUGACCUCUCAAAAAGUCAGGCAGGAAAUUCCCUUUGUUGUCUUUUCUUUCUGAUUAUGUUUAUUCUUGUUUUCCCUCUUCCUACUUCACAGAGAAGAGGUGUAAUUUUCCCUCAAUUCGUUAAUAUUAUCAACUCCAAGCAGAUGUGAAGGAUCUUUGUAAAAUACAAGUGUAAGAAUACCAUUUCCCCUUCUUGUA